rnacentral:rRNA from 1 species
UACGGGGGGUGCGAGCGUUGUCCGGAAUCACUGGGCGUAAAGGGCGCGUAGGUGGCCUGGUAAGUCUGUGGUGAAAGCCCGGAGCUCAACUCCGGGUCUGCCGCGGAUACUGCGAGGCUUGAGUGCUGUAGAGGGGGGUAGAAUGCCGGGUGUAGCGGUGGAAUGCGUAGAGAUCCGGCAGAAGACCGGUGGCGAAGGCGGCCCCCUGGGCAGUAACUGACACUGAGGCGCGACAGCGUGGGGAGCAACAGG